GAAUUCGCCCUUAGAGUUUGAUCCUGGCUCAGGACGAACGCUGGCGGCGUGCUUAACACAUGCAAGUCGAACGAGAAUCUAUGGAUCGAGGAUUCGUCCAAGUGAAAUAGAGGAAAGUGGCGGACGGGUGAGUAACGCGUGAGGAACCUGCCUUUCAGAGGGGGACAACAGUUGGAAACGACUGCUAAUACCGCAUAACGCAUAUUGGUCGCAUGGUCGAUAUGCCAAAGAUUUAUCGCUGAAAGAUGGCCUCGCGUCUGAUUAGAUAGUUGGUGAGGUAACGGCCCACCAAGUCGACGAUCAGUAGCCGGACUGAGAGGUUGAACGGCCACAUUGGGACUGAGAAACGGCCCAGACUCCUACGGGAGGCAGCAGUGGGGAAUAUUGGGCAAUGGGCGCAAGCCUGACCCAGCAACGCCGCGUGAAGGAAGAAGGCUUUCGGGUUGUAAACUUCUUUUGUGAGGGACGAGAAGAAGACGGUACCUCAUGAAUAAGCCACGGCUAACUACGUGCCAGCAGCCGCGGUAAUACGUAGGUGGCAAGCGUUGUCCGGAUUUACUGGGUGUAAAGGGCGUGUAGCCGGGUCGGCAAGUCAGAUGUGAAAUCCACGGGCUCAACUCGUGAACUGCAUUUGAAACUGUUGAUCUUGAGUAUCGGAGAGGCAAUCGGAAUUCCUAGUGUAGCGGUGAAAUGCGUAGAUAUUAGGAGGAACACCAGUGGCGAAGGCGGAUUGCUGGACGACAACUGACGGUGAGGCGCGAAAGCGUGGGGAGCAAACAGGAUUAGAUACCCUGGUAGUCCACGCUGUAAACGAUGAAUACUAGGUGUGCGGGGACUGACCCCCUGCGUGCCGCAGUUAACACAAUAAGUAUUCCACCUGGGGAGUACGAUCGCAAGGUUGAAACUCAAAGGAAUUGACGGGGGCCCGCACAAGCGGUGGAUUAUGUGGUUUAAUUCGAUGAUACGCGAGGAACCUUACCCGGGCUUGAAUUGCAGACGAAUACGCAGGAAACUGUGUAGCCGCAAGGCGUCUGUGAAGGUGCUGCAUGGUUGUCGUCAGCUCGUGCCGUGAGGUGUCGGCUUAAGUGCCAUAACGAGCGCAACCCCUACCGCCAGUUACCAUCAGGUAACGCUGGGGACUCCGGCGGGACUGCCAUCGUAAGGUGCGAGGAAGGUGGGGAUGACGUCAAAUCAGCACGGCCCUUACGUCCGGGGCGACACACGUGUUACAAUGGGCGGUACAGAGGGCAGCGACGCAGUGAUGCGGAGCGAAUCUCAUAAAGCCGUUCUCAGUUCGGAUCGGAGUCUGCAACCCGACUCCGUGAAGUUGGAUUCGCUAGUAAUCGCGCAUCAGCCAUGGCGCGGUGAAUACGUUCCCGGGCCUUGCACACACCGCCCGUCA
rnacentral:rRNA from 1 species